rnacentral:rRNA from 1 species
AUUGAACGCUGGCGGCAGGCCUAACACAUGCAAGUCGAGCGAGCGGCGGACGGGUGAGUAAUGUAUGGGGACUGCCCGAUAGAGGGGGAUAACUACUGGAAACGGUGGCUAAUACCGCAUACUAUCGGAUAACCCAUAUGGGAUUAGCUAGUCGGUGGGGUAAAGCCGCACCUAGGCGACGAUCUCUAGCUGGUCUGAGAGGAUGAUUAGACACACUGGGACUGAGACACGGCCCAGACUCCGACGGAGGCAGCAGUGGGGAAUAUUGCACAAUGGGCGCAAGCCUGAUGCAGCCAUGCCGCGUGUAUGAAGAAGGCCUUAGGGUUGUAAAGUACUUUCAGCGGGGAGGCGGUACCAACAGAAUAAGCACCGGCUAACUUCGUGCCAGCCGCCGCGGUAAUAC